AACAGAUUGUUUACAAGCCCUCCCUCUGUGCAUACAUUACGAAGUCCUCAUGAUGGCACUAUUCCCACAGCAGUCUAUGCUCCUCUAAACAUCAUCUACGUUUGCACCUGCCGUCCACAGGCACUCAUCAUAUGGAAUUAAGCAUGGAAUCUAUAAAAGUUCAGAAUCCAUUAAUAAUGAGAGGAUUGGACAAUCAGAUUCCAGUGGGUGAAAUCACAUGUGCCUCAUAUGCUACAGAUUACGUCUGAGCAGAUGGAGAGAGAGCAACAUGCAUAGGAUCCUGAUUCUUAAAGUGAAUGGAAACAAGUGGUGUAUCAUACACAAUUCAUACACUGCCAAUGCAUGCCAAUGAGAAGCUGGGUCAACCACUGUGUGAAAUGCAUUACUCUUAAUAAAAGCAAUGUCCAGUCCCUCCAGUUUUUCGCGAUUCCGCGAUCGCUGAAUACAGUGCA